UACACAGAAUCCACAUACAACAGCGAUCCACCAGUUCCCAAAUCUGCCCUUCCUUCCCUCUUUCUCUUCUUCACACUUCCCUUUCAGCUCUCCAACCAGUUUGCAGAGUUGGAUUCAGCAGAAGAGGGGCAUUCCUAUCAAUCUUUUCAGUGUUUCUCACCAUUAAAUAGCUGUGCAGGAUGCAACCAGCAUGACCCGCAUACGUUGGCCAUGUAAAAUGUGGUAUUUCCUGCUCUGCGUCUAAAUAUGUCUGUUGUAAAUAGAGAUGGCCUCUGUAGGAUCUCCCAGCAGCCAACGGUAAAGAAAAGACUGUCUUGACAAACCAACAGAAAAUGGGCAAAGACUCAAAUAGACAUCCUCCAAGGAGAAUGUCCAAAUAACCAAUAAACAUAUAAAAUGUG
rnacentral:lncRNA from 1 species